AGAGUUUGAUCCUGGCUCAGGACGAACGCUGGCGGCGUGCCUAAUACAUGCAAGUAGGACGCACAGUCUAUACCGUAGCUUGCUACACCAUAGGCUGUGAGUUGCGAACGGGUGAGUAACGCGUAGGUAACCUGCCUAUUAGAGGGGGAUAACUAUUGGAAACGAUAGCUAAUACCGCAUAACAGUAUGUAACACAUGUUAGAUGCUUGAAAGAUGCAAUUGCAUCGCUAGUAGAUGGACCUGCGUUGUAUUAGCUAGUAGGUAGGGUAAAGGCCUACCUAGGCAACGAUACAUAGCCGACCUGAGAGGGUGAUCGGCCACACUGGGACUGAGACACGGCCCAGACUCCUACGGGAGGCAGCAGUAGGGAAUCUUCGGCAAUGGGGGGAACCCUGACCGAGCAACGCCGCGUGAGUGAAGAAGGUUUUCGGAUCGUAAAGCUCUGUUGUUAAGGAAGAACGAGUGUGAGAAUGGAAAGUUCAUACUGUGACGGUACUUAACCAGAAAGGGACGGCUAACUACGUGCCAGCAGCCGCGGU
rnacentral:rRNA from 1 species